rnacentral:rRNA from 1 species
AGAGUUUGAUCAUGGCUCAGGAUGAACGUUGGCGGUGUGCCUAAUACAUGCAAGUCGAACGGAGUUAGUAGCAAUACUGGCUCAGUGGCGAACGGGUGAGUAACGCGUUGGUGAUCUGCCUUGAAGUGUGGAAUAACGUUUCGAAAGGAACGCUAAUACCGCAUGUGCUCUCGAUUUUCAGAAAGUUGAGAGUAAAGGAUUUAUUCGCUUCAAGAGGAGCCUGCGUCCCAUCAGCUGGUUGGUAGGGUAACGGCCUACCAAGGCUAUGACGGGUAGGGGACCUGAGAGGGUGGCCCCCCACAAUGGAACUGAAACACGGUCCAUACACCUACGGGUGGCAGCAGUAGGGAAUAUUAGAAAUGGACGAAAGUCUGAUCUAGCAACACCGCGUGUGCGAAGAAGGCCUUCGGGUCGNUAAAGCACUUUUUGGAAGGAAUAGGAAGGAAUGUACUUCCAGAAUAAGUCUCGGCUAACUACGUGCCAGCA